GACCACGAAGGCCGUUUCAUGGAGGUACACGACACGCUGACCCUCAAACAAAUGCUCAUUGUGCACGGAGCCUUUCCCAAAGGAAUCUACAAUAAUCUUCGAGGAGUCGGCCAGCUAUUGUGUAUUCCGAGAUGUAAUCAGACUGAAGAUGACAUUUUCGAUCGGGAGUCGGAUUUGAUUCUCGGUGCUGCGUUGGCAAAG
rnacentral:sRNA from 1 species